rnacentral:rRNA from 1 species
AAGAAAGUAAAUAAGGGCGUAUGGAGGAUGCCUUGGCUCUCAGAGGCGAAGAAGGACGCGAUAAGCUGCGAUAAGCUACGGGGAGGAGCAAAUAUCCGUUAAUCCGUGGAUUUCCGAAUGGGGCAACCCGCAUGGUUGAAGGCCAUGCACCAAUAAGGAGUGAACGCAGGGAACUGAAACAUCUUAGUACCUGCAGGAAAAGAAAACAAUAGUGAUUUCGUAAGUAGUGGCGAGCGAACGCGAAACAGCCCAAACCAUCGAUGUUUCGGCAUAGGUGGGGUUGUAGGACUGCGUUGUAUGUAUCAUAAAAGAAGUGGAAGCAUCUGGAAAGUUGCAUCAGAGAGGGUGACAAUCCCGUACACGUAUGGUUAUGAUAUGUUAGCAGUAUCCUGAGUAGGGCGGGACACGAGGAAUCCUGUCUGAAUCUGCGGGGACCAUCCCGUAAGGCUAAAUACUCCUGAGAGACCGAUAGUGAACCAGUACCGUGAGGGAAAGGUGAAAAGUACUUCGAACAGAAGAGUGAAAUAGUACCUGAAACCAUACGCUUACAAGCGGUCGGAGUCCCCAUAGUGGGAUGACGGCGUGCCUUUUGCAUAAUGAGCCUACGAGUUGCUCUUCUCCGGCAAGGUUAAGUACUUAAGGUACGAAGCCGAAGCGAAAGCGAGUCUGAACAGGGCGCAAGAGUCGGAGGAGGCAGACGCGAAACUUUGUGAUCUACCCAUGACCAGGUUGAAGUUACGAUAACACGUAAUGGAGGACCGAACCGAUAAACGUUGAAAAGUUUCCGGAUGAGUUGUGGGUAGGGGUGAAAGGCUAAUCAAACUGAGAGAUAGCUCGUACUCCCCGAAAUGCAUUUAGGUGCAGCCUGUGGAGAGGUGUAUCAGAGGUAGAGCUACUGAUUGGGCAAGAGGGCUUCACCGCCUAUCAACCCCAGACAAACUCCGAAUGCUGAUACAUCAUACAUGGAGUGAGCCGUCGGGUGCUAAGAUCCGGCGACGAGAGGGAAAGAACCCGGACCAUCAGCUAAGGUCCCCAAAUAUAUGCUAAGUUGAAUGAACGAGGUAUGACUGCAGCGACAGCUAGGAUGUUGGCUUGGAAGCAGCCAUUCAUUUAAAGAGUGCGUAACAGCUCACUAGUCGAGCGGUCGUGCAUGGAUAAUAAUCGGGCAUCAAGCAUAUUACCGAAGCUAUGGAUUAUGUAAGCAAUUACAUACUGGUAGGGGAGCAUUCCAACGUCAGCGAAGGCAGGCUGUAAAACCUGCUGGAGAUUUUGGAAAAGCAAAUGUAGGCAUAAGUAACGAUAAUGGGGGCGGGAAACCCCCACACCGAUAGACUAAGGUUUCCUGAUCAACGAUAAUCGGAUCAGGGUUAGUCGGGUCCUAAGGAUACUCCGAAAGGACAGUCCGAUGGACAGCCGGUUAAUAUUCCGGCACUUUCCGGUAUUGCGACGGGAUGACGAAAGAGUGACAGGCACGCGUACAGACGGAUUAGUACGUUAAAGGGUGUAGGUGUAGAGACGGGCAGGCAAAUCCGCCCGUUGAGCCGAACCUGAGAGUACCACAACCCUUCGGGGGCGUGGAUAGUUGCCGUAAGCAUAUUUCCAAGAAAAGUCUCUAAGCAUCAGAUACCGGAAACCCGUACCGCAAACCGACACAGGUAGUCAAGGAGAGAAUCCUGAGGUGCUCGAGUGAUUCAUGGCUAAGGAACUAGGCAAAAUAGUCCUGUAACUUAGGGAUAAAGGACCCCCAUGUGAGUGGGGCGCAGUGAAAAGAUCCAGGCGACUGUUUAUCAAAAACAUAGGGCUUUGCUAAUUCGCAAGAAGAAGAAUAAGGCCUGACACCUGCCCGGUGCUGGAAGGUUAAGAGGGGAUGUUCGCCGCAAGGCAAAGCAUUGAAUCGAAGCCCCAGUAAACGGCGGCCGUAACUAUAACGGUCCUAAGGUAGCGAAAUUCCUUGUCGGGUAAGUUCCGACCUGCACGAAUGGUGUAACGAUCUGGAUACUGUCUCAGCCAUGAGCUCGGUGAAAUUGUAGCAGCGGUGAAGAUGCCGCUUACCCGCAACGGGACGAAAAGACCCCGUGAACCUUUACUGCAACUUAACAUUGAUUCUGGGUAACAGAUGUGUAGGAUAGGUGGGAGACUGUGAAGCAGGUGCGUCAGCAUUUGUGGAGUCAACGUUGAAAUACCACCCUUUUGUUGCCCGGGCUCUAAUUCGGUGAAUGCCGAAGACAUUGUUUGGUGGGUAGUUUGACUGGGGUGGUCGCCUCCAAAAGAGUAACGGAGGCUUCCCAAGGUACCCUCAGCACGGAUGGUAAUCGUGCGCAGAGUGCAUUGGCACAAGGGUGCUUGACAGUG